rnacentral:rRNA from 1 species
UACGAAGGGGGGCUAGCGUUGUUCGGAAUCAUUUGGGCGUAAAGGGCGCGUAGGCGGUCAGGUAAGUCAACUGUGAAAGCCCAGGGCUCAACCUUGGAAGUGCAGCUGAAACUACCUGACUAGAGUCUCGGAGAGGGUGGUGGAAUUCCCAGUGUUAGAGGUGAAAUUGUAGAUAUUGGGAGGAACACCAGUGGCGAAGGCGACCGCCUGGACGAAGACUGACGCUGAGGCGCGAGAGCGUGGGGGAGCAAACGGG